AUGAAACAUAUCCCAAACUUUUUCUUAUAUAUGAAGGUCACGAUCUAAACCAAAAUUCGCCUUUGAGGUAGACGGCAAUCAAAAUAAUUAAUUAUUUCACAUUCGAGUCUGUAUUGGAGAACGUCCUCUCCCCAAAAAAGAGAAGACGACUACCGCAAGGUUUUAGCCAAUCAGAGUGCGUUGCCUAAAAUAGCACUCGUACACUAGGAGAAACAAAUAUGGCGCGGUGGAGUUCGAAGUAAGUCGUUUACAGAUGCACGUUAGUUAAAACUCUCUCCCUUCAUUGUUCGUGAACAGAUCGAGAGUAGGCCUAUUGUUGAUGAGGCAAGCAGUCAGAGCAGUCCAGAACUAGAGGGUAAAGAGCUCCCUGAGCAUACUAUCUUCUGAUGUCAGCCUCAUUAGAAAAAAAGCCCUGUAUAAAGGUUUAGUAGAGUUGGCAGUGAUACAUAGCACUUCUAGGUCCAGUAGUACAAGGCUUGGAAGAGGUGUGAGAUCAGGAGGAUUGACUCAAGAACAUGAAAGGAGAAUUCAGUAACUCACAGAAGAGAGCAUACAUGAUGGUGUUGCCAAGAAAAUGAUGGUGUUGCCAAGGAAAGUGCUGAAUACAUUGUGACAAGUGUGAUGGAAAUCCUGGCCUUGCACUGGAUAUAAAGAUGCUUUUGCUAGAGAAUUUACCAAGCAAUGACUCAGCAUCAGUGGAGAUGGGACUGGCCCAUCUCCCACUCACUGUAAUGUCCCCUACAUUUUGACUGCCGUUGAAUUUGCUGGAUUACUUCACUUUGAAGAGAUUCUUUUCAUUCUACUGUAAUUUGUGCAACCAUUCAGUGAACAUAAAAAAUAAAGGCAUAGAAAAACAA